rnacentral:rRNA from 1 species
AUUGAACGCUGGCGGCAUGCCUUACACAUGCAAGUCGAACGGUAACAGGUCUUCGGAUGCUGACGAGUGGCGAACGGGUGAGUAAUACAUCGGAACGUGCCCGAGAGUGGGGGAUAACGAAGCGAAAGCUUUGCUAAUACCGCAUACGAUCUCAGGAUGAAAGCAGGGGACCGCAAGGCCUUGCGCUCACGGAGCGGCCGAUGGCAGAUUAGGUAGUUGGUGGGAUAAAAGCUUACCAAGCCGACGAUCUGUAGCUGGUCUGAGAGGACGACCAGCCACACUGGGACUGAGACACGGCCCAGACUCCUACGGGAGGCAGCAGUGGGGAAUUUUGGACAAUGGGCGCAAGCCUGAUCCAGCCAUGCCGCGUGCAGGAUGAAGGCCUUCGGGUUGUAAACUGCUUUUGUACGGAACGAAAAGACUCUGGUUAAUACCUGGUGUCCAUGACGGUACCGUAAGAAUAAGCACCGGCUAACUACGUGCCAGCAGCCGCGGUAAUACGUAGGGUGCGAGCGUUAAUCGGAAUUACUGGGCGUAAAGCGUGCGCAGGCGGUUAUAUAAGACAGAUGUGAAAUCCCCGGGCUCAACCUGGGAACUGCAUUUGUGACUGUAUAGCUAGAGUACGGCAGAGGGGGAUGGAAUUCCGCGUGUAGCAGUGAAAUGCGUAGAUAUGCGGAGGAACACCGAUGGCGAAGGCAACCACCUGGACUGAUACUGACACUGAGGUGCGAAAGCGU